CACCACUCAGAGUAAUACCUGGAGAGUUUUCAGUACUCUACCAGUCUCAAAUACGGAAGGGAGAGUCAAGCAGAGGUAUCUCCAUUCCAUUCCUAGCUUGUACAGUGGCUAGUGAGUGGAAGUCAAUCUGCUACAAGU